rnacentral:rRNA from 1 species
UAGAGUUUUGAUCCUGGCUCAGGAUGAACGCUGGCGGCGUGCCUAAUACAUGCAAGUCGAGCGAACAGAUAAGGAGCUUGCUCCUUUGACGUUAGCGGCGGACGGGUGAGUAACACGUGGGUAACCUACCUAUAAGACUGGGAUAACUUCGGGAAACCGGAGCUAAUACCGGAUAACAUUUGGAACCGCAUGGUUCUAAAGUGAAAGAUGGUUUUGCUAUCACUUAUAGAUGGACCCGCGCCGUAUUAGCUAGUUGGUAAGGUAACGGCUUACCAAGGCGACGAUACGUAGCCGACCUGAGAGGGUGAUCGGCCACACUGGAACUGAGACACGGUCCAGACUCCUACGGGAGGCAGCAGUAGGGAAUCUUCCGCAAUGGGCGAAAGCCUGACGGAGCAACGCCGCGUGAGUGAUGAAGGGUUUCGGCUCGUAAAACUCUGUUAUUAGGGAAGAACAAAUGUGUAAGUAACUAUGCACAUCUUGACGGUACCUAAUCAGAAAGCCACGGCUAA